GGGAAUCCAGGAAUAAAAUUGACACAUCCCAUUCAAUCUUUCUGCGGCAGAUAAUAAUGUUAUCUUUAAAAACUUUUUAGAAAAACACUUAUUAUUAAAAGUGUUUUUUUUACUUGUCAUGUUCAAUCUUUUUCAACAUUUUGAAAUUAUAUUUCAUAUUCGAUGGUAGAAUUUCUUAUAAAUUGAACACAUUUUGUGUAGAGGUUUCCAUAUUUC
rnacentral:lncRNA from 1 species